GAGGAUGGAGCUAGGGGCUGAGAAAGCUAGGGCAGAGCUCUAGUUCCCCGAAUUUUAGUGUGGGGGAGAGCUUGCUGUUGGGGAUCCAGACCUUAUAAAGGAGUUCUGGCCCACUUGUGAGAUUGGAGAGAAAGAUCUGAGGCUGUGACUCCAACGUCCUGGGGAAGAGGGAGCUUAAGAGACCCGCUUGAAGAUCCUGAGAGAAAGAAUGUGAGCCUGGGGAUGGGAGGGUCCUGAGCUCAGAGCAGGGGGACCUCCCUGCGCCUGAGGUCCGUGUCUGGGGACCUCUGCGCCUCACCUUCCAGAAUGCAAGGGGCGGGGUCACUCGGACUCGGUGGAAGAGGCCCCCGGACUUCCCUUCGGUGUGUCGGGUACAAGAUUUUGCAGCCUUUUAACGAGGAGGAAGCCCCGCCCACGGCUCCGCCUUCUGCCCGCACCUUGCUGCGGUGCGGCUGAACCCGCAAGCGCUCGAGGAGGGGCUCGAGCUGGAGUGACUUUAGGAGGAGGGGCUGGAGCCUCGGAAACCGAGAUUUAUGUUUGCAGAGCAAAAGAACCAGAUACCAAAGAAGACAAGAUAAACAGCCCAGAUGAUCCCACCUCACAGACUGACUCAAUAGCCGUUUCUUCAAGAAUCUGCAUCCAGAAUGACUUCAAGAUGGCUAAAUAAGAUAGACAUGUGACAUACCAGUUCCUGGCAACACCCCAUCUUACUUUAAAGAAGAUGAUGAGUAUCGAAGAAUCAGCAUGUGGAGUUUGCUUCAAUGUGGCAAGCUGCCAUCAGGCAAAAAAAAACUGCUCUAGCUUCCACUGUAGACAGCAUGUUAUCCAAACUUGACAAACAGGACAUGGAAGAAGUCGACUGCUGGACUUUGCAAGGACGAGGUAGACAAGGCUCUCAUUGGCCUGAGGAUAGCUUGAGGAAGUCCCGGGUAUCCUCCUGUUUCCACCUCUCCAUCCCUGGGAUUACAGAUGUACUACCAUGCCCUGCUUUUUAUAUGGGUUCUGGGGAUGGAACUCAGUACUCACAUCUUGGAGAUGGACUAUAGAUUUCUAGAUGUGGCAGUACCUUGACCCACUGAGCCAUCACUGCAGCCCAGAUUACAUAGUAUGUACAGACUAUGAAUAACCUGCCAGUUGGAAUAAAUGAAUUCAAUAAAGUUGCAGGACAUAAAACCAACACACAAAAAUAAAUUGUGUUUCUCCACACUAACAACAAAGUACAAGAAAAACGAAGACAUGAGUUCAGUUCCCAGCACCCACAUUAGGUGACUCAUAACCUCCUGUAACUCCAGCCCUAAGGGGUUCCAACAACCUCUUCUGGCCUCAUCAGGGACAAUAAGACAUUUGGAAGCAGAUGUCUUUGGAUGAAGAUAUUGAUGCAGAGCAUUUGCGCUCCAGCCUCUGGGCUCAGUGAGUCUCAAACGGUGACAACAAGCUGUGAGAGAGAUUCCAGAGCCAAGACCCAGGGAAGGAAGGUGGAGCCUGGAAUAAAGGCAAAGCUAUUGGGUCUGAGGGAGGAAGCUGGUCUGAGAGAAGGAGCCAGGGACCUGGGGGGGCCUGGGCCUGAAGUAAGGGGCUAGGGACUGGAGUCUCACGAGAAGAAGAAGAAGAAG